UGCCUCCUACGGGAGGCAGCAGUGAGGAAUAUUGGUCAAUGGGCGGGAGCCUGAACCAGCCAAGCCGCGUGAAGGAAGAAGGCGCCAAGCGUCGUAAACUUCUUUUGUCGGGGAACAAAGGGCGCCACGUGUGGCGUUGUGAGUGUACCCGAAGAAAAAGCAUCGGCUAACUCCGUGCCAGCAGCCGCGGUAAUACGGAGGAUGCGAGCGUUAUCCGGAUUUAUUGGGUUUAAAGGGUGCGUAGGCGGCCUGCUAAGUCUGGAGUGAAAGGUACCGGCUCAACCGGUACAGGCUCUGGAAACUGG
rnacentral:rRNA from 1 species